rnacentral:tRNA from 1 species
CAGGGAGACAAAACUGAUUUUGAUGUCUGAGUUAUUUAUUCUUAGGCCGUGAUCCUGUCACCUUAGGUCGAUCGGUACCUCAGAUUUCUAGCCAAAAUUAAGUUGAUAAAACAUCCUAAUUGGUUAUUAAUUUCAGUUCCUAAACUUGUCUAGGUCACACCCAACAAGGGUACUCCUGGGCCAUUAGCUCAGGUGGUUAGAGCGCACCCCUGAUAAGGGUGAGGUCCCUGGUUCAAGUCCAGGAUGGCCCAUUCGGUGUUGGGGGUAUAGCUCAGUUGGUAGAGCGCCUGCUUUGCAAGCAGGAUGUCAGCGGUUCGAGUCCGCUUACCUCCACUGAUUAACCACCUUAUAUUGAAAUACAAGGAGAUUCUCUUUGUUGAAACAGUGUGAUUUAUACUUCAGUUUUAAAUUCAAGAACCUAGCUUCUUGUUAUUCCUUGUCUAAAUUCAUUUUUAGAUUUGGUUGACAGGACGCUGGGCUCACUGUGAUCUCUUAGAUCACAGAGAUGUUCAGUAGAACCUUGACAACUGCAUAGGUGAGUCUGGAAAGAACAAAGCAUCUCAUGGAUGCAUUAUUCUUUUGAUCUGACUAAUUAUUCUUCAAAGAAUAAUUUUUUUGAUUCAAUAGAAAUAUGUUUAAUUCUUGAGCAAGAGCCGAGACUCUAUAACCCAAUUUAAAGAAGUUAUAGAGGUAAU